UACGUAGGGUGCGAGCGUUAAUCGGCAUUACUGGGCGUAAAGCGUGCGCAGGCGGCUUUGCAAGACAGAUGUGAAAUCCCCGGGCUCAACCUGGGAACUGCAUUUGUGACUGCAAGGCUAGAGUACGGCAGAGGGGGAGGGAAUUCCGCGUGUAGCAGUGAAAUGCGUAGAUAUGCGGAGGAACACCAAUGGCGAAGGCAAUCCCCUGGGCCUGUACUGACGCUCAUGCACGAAAGCGUGGGGAGCAAACAGG
rnacentral:rRNA from 1 species